CCUACGGGUGGCAGCAGUGAGGAAUAUUGGUCAAUGGGCGUAAGCCUGAACCAGCCAAGUCGCGUGAGGGAUGAAGGUUCUAUGGAUCGUAAACCUCUUUUAUAAGGGAAUAAAGUGUGGGACGUGUCCUAUUUUGUAUGUACCUUAUGAAUAAGGAUCGGCUAACUCCGUGCCAGCAGCCGCGGUAUUACGGAGGAGCCGAGAGUUAUCCGGAUUUAUUGGGUUUAAAGGGUGCGUAGGCGGACUGUUAAGUCAGCGGUGAAAGUCCGUGCCUCACCCAUAGAAUUGCCGUUGAAACUGGGGGGCUUGAGUAUGUUUGAGGAAGGCGGAAUGCGUGGUGUAGCGGUGAAAUGCUUAGAUAUCACGCAGAACCCCGAUUGCGAAGGCAGCCCGCGAAGCCAUGACUGACGCUGAUGCACGAAAGCGUGGGGAUCAAACAGGAUUAGAUACCCGGGUAGUC
rnacentral:rRNA from 1 species